UACAGAGGGUGCAAACGUUGCUCGGAAUUACUGGGCGUAAAGCGCGUGUAGGUGGCCACGCAAGUCAGGUGUGAAAGCCCAGGGCUCAACCCUGGAAGUGCACAUGAUACUACGUGGCUGGAGUACUGAAGAGGAGAGCGGAAUUCCCGGUGUAGAGGUGAAAUUCGUAGAUAUCGGGAGGAACACCAGUGGCGAAGGCGGCUCUCUGGGCAGAUACUGACACUGAGACGCGAAAGCGUGGGUAGCAAACAGG
rnacentral:rRNA from 1 species